AGCAGAGAAGAAACAAAUCCCUUCAAUUCCCAGCACUCACAUGCCUUAGGUACCCCAAGGGGCUUUGGGAACCCAAACUUACACUCAGGCUGCUCAAAUGUGAAAACUGUGGGCCCUCUGGGGUCUGGUGCUAACCUGGGAGGGUUGCUGAACCGGCUGCUGGGCCAUCAGGUGGCCACGGACUUGGCUGAGCAGGCUGAGACACAGACGCAGACACACCCCUGCGUCUCACCCUGAGGGUCAUGGCUCUUUCUUGUGCUCCUUCUGGCCUCAUAUCCUUCACCUGUUCAACAGCAGGAGGGUCAGCCUAGGCAGGCAUGUCUCAAAGUGUGUGCUAUGGAAUACCAGCCAUCAUAUGCAAUUACUCGCCCAGUAAUGCCUGACUCUUUGCAACCCCAUGGGCUGUAGCCCACUAUCAUGGACUGUGGUUAAUGAGGGGAGGAAAGAUUCUGUGGUGAAUGGAGCAUUGAGUUCAGUUAUUUUUGCAGCUAACAACAUUUGGUGAACGUAGUAGGCACUGGGUUCAGCACUUUACAAACAUUUUCUCAUUGACCUCUUACAAUUACUCUGAGGCCCUAUGGCUGGCUGCAUUUUACAGAUGAGGAAACGAAGGCUUGGCAAGGUUAGAUUUACCCAAGUUCUCUCAACUGUUAAGCGGCAGAGUCAUGAUUCAAACCCAGGUGGCCCAUGUCCAGAUCUCUUGUUCUCAAUCAGGUUGAAUUAACAGGGUAUGGUGAUGGGUGACAUUGUUGGGGGAGAAAGGGGAAGGAAGAAUUCACAUGCCCCCCUCCUUUUUUUUUUAUUCAACUCAGUGUCAUAUAGUGUCCUGGUGGGUGGUGGAGAAAUACAAUGAAAAAAAAAAACAAAAAACAAACCACCCACUCUACCCCUUAGAACUUCAGACAAGGAGGAAGAUUAAGCAAAGCAUGAAGCAUGCUGAGUUGGGUAUGGGGAAACAAGUCUUCCUGAAGUGGUCUCUUUUUAAACCAAGACUUAAGGGACCAUUAAACAUGGGAAGAGGGCAGGAGAAAUGGUGUGUGCAAAGACCAGGAGCUGAGGUAGAGCAUGGAGAUUCAAAGACACGGUGGACUGAAGGGGCAUGGGUCUGGGAGAUGAGAGCCUGGAUGUCAGCAGAGGGCAGUCACUUGAGGUCUUGACUCUGAGGCUUCUAGAUUGGGACUGGGACAAGGGAGGGGAGAGAAUUUGAGGAAAUCCUGGGGGAACAGUGGUCUGCUGGCUGGAGCUAGGAACAUGGGUGAGGGCAAAGGAAGUGGUGGUAAUGAGCUUGGUUUUGGUCUCCCGAGUGCUGAGAGGGGGGUCACCGUUAAGGUCUUUUCCACUGCUGACCUUCUCAACUUCCCUGGAAGGAAGGAACAUCUCCCUGCGGCCCCUCCACCCCCAAAUAUUCUGGGCAGGAAGGAGCGGGAUCUGUUUUGUCAACGCAGCUUGCAAUAAAGAGUCUCAUUCAGGGAGGCAAACAGCUGCUUGACUAUUAAUAGGCAGGGCCUCAGCCGCAGCCUGCUGGGAGGGCUCGGCAUGCAGUUCUGGAAAGGUGAAUCUCUUCCAUCUGCCUGUCUGGAGUUUGCACCCCAUGGUGGAACAAUAGGCCGGGUGCUCAUUUCUCGGAAGAAUGUAAGUUCCAUGAUGGUGGAGACCACGCCUACUGUCAACAUCUGCGUUUUCUUUGUUCAGCCAAGGUCUCAACCAUGAACAUCAGCAACAAGAUGACUUCUAGUCUGUGGAAAGUCCUGUUCUCAGCUCUUGGCUGAACCAUUUUACACUCCCAUCCAUGAUAUAGCCACAAAGUCUCCAGGAUUUUUUUAACUUGAACCAAGAAAGAGCAGCUCUGAGUCUCUUCCUGCUGAGUCCGGGGAUGUGAAAAUGACACCCACAGAAGGGAAAAGGUAGAAGGUGGAAAGACUGCAAAUCAUCCCCAAAGCUUCCUUCUGUCC
ensembl:lncRNA